CUCUACCACUUGCCCUAGAUACCACUUUAUUAUUGCAAGUGACAGAUUUAUUAUUUGAAUGUAUCAGUGUAUAUAUACCUAUAUACAUAGAGAGUUUCCGUCGAAGUUUGCGGGUGGCGUGCCACCCCACGACAAUGAAUAGAUACACCCCUGUUCAGAACAGUAUGAUUUAGCAAGGAGCUAGGCAGCCAGCUGUAUUUCUAACUAUUUGAAGAUCAUAUUGCUGGAGUAAUCAUAUUAAAUCAUGUCUUGUCUUAAUAAUUGAUGAAAAAGGGAAAACCACAGUACAGCAGCCACAAGUGGCCAAAUAAAAGUUAAAAAGAAAAAUCAAGAUGCUUUUUAUAUCUAACUCAAUUAUUACUAUAAAAUACUAUACUAAUAUAUCGCAGUAACAUCCAAGCUAAUUAGUUGGCUUUAUAAAUAUAGAUGUCCCCUCCAUACAAUCACAUGAAAAAUAAAGGUGCAGGCGGCUAUUAUAAGAGAAACAACGAGACAGAACCCACUUGGGUGACUGGUUACUAUGUUUUGUAGGUUGUACUUCUGAAACGUCCAUGAUUAUGCAGGAGCUUCUUGCUCUAUUUCGAGGGCUCCAGCUUGCAUACCAUCACGAUCAUCUUUGUCUUUGCAUUAUUGUGGAUUUGAUAGAGGUGGUAUACCCUAUAAUCUGUAAUCCCAUGGGCUAUAUGGGAUCUGCCAUUAACUCGGCAGCCAAGCCCCCAACCCAAGUGCGCCGCAAGGGUCGAAGUCUCUAUAUAUACUACGCCACACGACCGUCGCCAGCGUACAGUAAUAAUCUAUCCGUAUUGGCAAAUACGGUUUCAAGCUAAGGGUUACUUCAAUUCAAGCCCUCUUCGGGUAACCACCUAACCCUCUUUAACCCUAUUUUUAACUAUGUUAAAAUCAUGCAUUUUCUGAAAACAUAUUCUAAAAGCAUACUCUGAAAUUCUUACUCUGUUAUGGAAUACAUUUAUAUGGUAUCGUCAUAUCAUUGAAUUGCAAGUCACAUCUCUGAGCCAUUAUUAGCUUAUCAUAAAUCUCUAUUUUCAAAACACAAGUUUUGGGACCACCAUUUCAAUAAAUCAAUUCAAAGAAACUCUUUCUCAAACUUCCUGCAAACACAUGCAAGGAACUCUCUUUGUCUAGCAUUUUAAUAAUACAAGGUGGUCAUGUCAAAGUUCUCAAUUCACAUGUAAUUCUUUCUCUUAAACACAAGAACAUAUUUAUAUCAAGGAACACCCUCUCAACAAUUCCAAAUCAUGUUCAAACACUAUGAUAUUGCGAAAACAUCUUUCAAAUCAUAAAACAUGCAUUCCAACUCUUUUCCACAAAAUCAUAAUCUUUGAUUCAAUACAAGAGAGGGAGUUCAUAAUUUAUGCUCUCAAACAAUUUAAAAUCUUAAAUUCCAUACAUAUACGUAUACAUGUAAAUCAAUUUAGGGGAUAGGACCACAAGGUCAAAACAAUAGUAACAUUGAAACAUUCAGAAUACGAAAUUUAAACAUAGAUUCCAAAAACCCCUUUGAGAUUCAUGCAUAAAAAAACCUUAAAAUCAUGCUCUAAUGGUUUCAAGCCCAUGUAGUUUCUAGGAUAAACCCCACGCACCUCUGUUUAGAAAAAUAAUGGAUGAUUCUUGAAGCUUACGGAUUGGGGAUUUCAAAUCUCUAAUUAUCUUCUAAAAUCCACGGUUGAAUCUUGAGUUAUUAAGGUUUUUAGUUUGAAACCCUUGUGAAUGUUCUUGGAGUAAUUUGAUGAAAGUGGGUGUAUUUCGUUGUAAUUGGGAUUACAUCCCGUGUUUAGGUUGAUAGGAGAAUUGAAAAUACCCAAAACACCCUUAAUGAGACGGGUUAAAAUUGCUGAAUUUCCCAGGUGAGCAUGCGUCGCAUGCUCUUUCCUACCGGACUGGAGCAUGCGUCACAUGCUCCAUCGCAUGGUAUCUAGGAAGCGAUGCACCAUGCGACGCUCGCAAAUCACAAUGUGCUACUAUUUCAAAAAUCAAACGCACCCUAAACGAGGUCCAAAAAUUCCAAAACUCACACGAGAUGUUCUAUAGACUUUCCCCAUCACAACACAAUAAAAAUUUUAAGAAACGGAGGUCGUAAAGGUCACGAAAAAAUUCAUCAAAGAUUUGGGAGCUCAAAAUAAGACUAAGUCCCUUGACACUUAGAAAAAUUUCUAGUCCUUAACUCUUUAAGCAUUCCACAAGGAGCUAAUACAUGCAUGACCUGUUUAUGGGGUGUUACAUUAUCCCCCUUGGGAUAAUUCAGGGCGCGGAACAUAGACAAGCACGAUUUCUAGCAUACUAAGACAUACGAAAAUAAGACAGAGAUUGUACCUUCCAUCUCGUCAUUUGCCGGAUCAAAUAAGUUUGGGUAUCUAGCUCGUGUGUGAUCUUCUGAUUCCCAAGUAGCUUCUUCAAUUUUCUGUUUUCUCCACAACACUUUAACUGAGGCUAUCUCUUUGCUCCUCAAUUUUCUAACUUGGCGAUCCAAGAUUUCCACAGACUCUUCUUCAUAGGAUAAGGAGUCUGACACUUUGAUUUC